UUCCACAAAUUAACUUGUCGCCAACAAGUUAUACUAUCAGCACAAUCAAGAAAUAAAUGCCAAUUAUAUUCUGUGUAUCUAUGACACACAACACAAUUAAAAUCACCAUGAAUUCCUUUGCUCAUUAAUCUUUGCCUAUUAGGUAGACAAUCCCUUCCAAGUCUCCAAAGGAAAUUCUUGACCUUGGGAGGAAUAGGUAAACCCAUAAUUGUUGUCAAUCUCCUUCCACUUUCCAAACAUCUCUGUUAAUCAUCACAUCAACACAUACUCUAUAUGCACUUUUUACUGAAUAUAUGCCUUUUUUAUCAAAGCGCCAAAUAAUCCCAUCUCUUCUUCCAAGGUUAACAAGUGGGAUCUUCAAAAUUUCAUUAGCAUCUUUAUCACAAAAUAACUCAAUCACACGAUUUCUAUUCCAACAACCUUGAUUGACAUCAAUUAAGUCACUAACCUUUGAUAAAUUCUCAAUGUUGAGGAUGGGAGUAAUGAUAGUUGGGUUGUCUUCAUUUCUUNNN
rnacentral:lncRNA from 1 species